rnacentral:rRNA from 1 species
GGCGAACGCUGGAGGCGUGCUUAACACAUGCAAGUCGAACGAUGAAAUGGAGCUUGCUCCAUGGAUUAGUGGCGAACGGGUGAGUAACACGUGAAUAACCUGCCCUUAAUUUUGGAAUAACCCAGGGAAACCUGGGCUAAUACCGGAUAAGUAAACCUGUGGCAUCGCAUGGUUUUGGAAAGUUUUUCGAUUAAGGAUGGAUUCGCGGCCUAUCAGCUUGUUGGUGAGGUAAUGGCUCACCAAGGCAACGACGGGUAGCCGGCCUGAGAGGGUGAACGGCCACACUGGGACUGAGACACGGCCCAGACUCCUACGGGAGGCAGCAGUGGGGAAUAUUGCGCAAUGGACGAAAGUCUGACGCAGCGACGCCUCGUGAGGGACGAAGGUCUUCGGAUUGUAAACCUCUUUCAGCAGGGACGAAGCGAAAGUGACGGUACCUGCAGAAGAAGCACCGGCUAACUAUGUGCCAGCCGCCGCGGUAA